rnacentral:misc_RNA from 1 species
GGUGGCUAAUGAUCUCAAGUCAACUGGUGGCACAUCAAAAUCUAUUAUGACAAUUGCUUUCCAGUUUGCAUUUGAAAGCCACAUGCAAGAGAAUGUUGCAUCAAUGGCUAGAAAAUAUGUACGAAGCUUCAUUUCAUCUGUUCAAAGGGUCGCAUUAGCACUUUCUCCAUCUAACUUCGGUUCCCUGGGAGGCCUUCGUCUGCCGCUGGGGACUCCUGAAGUACAUACACUGGCUCGGUGGAUCUGCCAAAGUUACAGGCGAUUUCUGGGUGUGGAGCUUCCAAAAUUGAGUAGUGAAGGAAGUGAGUCUCUCCUUGAUAGCCUAUGGCAUCACUCAGAUGCUAUUAUCUGCUGCUCUGCAAAGGCUUUGCCAGUUUUCACAUUUGCAAACCAGGGUGGUCUUGACAUGCUCGAGACAACCUUGGUCGCGCUUCAAGAUAUCUCUUUGGAGAAAAUAUUUGAUGAACACGGAAGGAAAAA